UACGAAGGGGGCUAGCGUUGCUCGGAAUCACUGGGCGUAAAGCGCACGUAGGCGGAUCUUUAAGUCAGGGGUGAAAUCCUGGAGCUCAACUCCAGAACUGCCUCUGAUACUGGGGAUCUUGAGUCCGGAAGAGGUAAGUGGAACUGCGAGUGUAGAGGUGAAAUUCGUAGAUAUUCGCAAGAACACCAGUGGCGAAGGCGGCUUACUGGUCCGGUACUGACGCUGAGGUGCGAAAGCGUGGGGAGCGAACAGG
rnacentral:rRNA from 1 species